AGGGUGAAUACAGGGUGAAUACAGGAUGAAUACAGGGUGAAUACAGGAUAAAUACAGGAUGAAUACAGGAUGAAUACAGGAUGAAUACAGGAUGAAUACAGGGUGAAUACAGGAUAAAUACAGGAUGAGGGUGAAUACAGGGUGAAUACAGGAUGAAUACAGGAUGAAUGCAGGAUGAAUACAGGGUGAAUACAAGAUAAAUACAGGGUGAGUACAGGAUGAAAACAGGAUGAAUACAGGAUGAGGGUGAAUACAGUAUGAAUACAGGGAAGAUACAGGAUGAAUACAGGAUGAAUACAGGGGGAAUACAGGGUGAAUACAGGAUGAAUACAGGGUGAAUACAAGAUAAAUACAGGAUGAAUACAGGAUGAAUACAGGAUGAAUACAGGAUGAAUACAGG
ensembl:lncRNA